rnacentral:rRNA from 1 species
GAGUUUGAUCCUGGCUCAGGAUGAACGCUAGCGGCAGGCUUAACACAUGCAAGUCGAGGGGUAUAGUUCUUCGGAACUAGAGACCGGCGCACGGGUGCGUAACGCGUAUGCAAUCUACCUUUCACAGAGGGAUAGCCCAGAGAAAUUUGGAUUAAUACCUCAUAGUAUAAUUGAAUGGCAUCAUUUAAUUAUUAAAGUCACAACGGUGAAAGAUGAGCAUGCGUCCCAUUAGCUAGAUGGUAAAGUAACGGCUUACCAUGGCGACGAUGGGUAGGGGUCCUGACAGGCAGAUCCCCCAAACUGGUACUGAAACACGGACCAAACGGCUACGGGAGGUAAAAAUGAGUAAUAUUGUUCA